UACAGAGGUCUCAAGCGUUGUUCGGAUUCAUUGGGCGUAAAGGGUGCGUAGGCGGCUCGGUAAGUCGGGUGUGAAAUCUCGGGGCUUAACUCCGAAACUGCAUUCGAUACUGCGGUACUUGAGGACUGGAGAGGAGACUGGAAUUCAUGGUGUAGCAGUGAAAUGCGUAGAGAUCAUGAGGAAGACCAGUGGCGAAGGCGGGUCUCUGGACAGUUCCUGACACUGAGGCACGAAGGCCAGGGGAGCAAACGGG
rnacentral:rRNA from 1 species